rnacentral:rRNA from 1 species
ASUUGAGAGACNUGAUCGGCCACAUUGGGACUGAGACACGGCCCAAACUCCUACGGGAGGCAGCAGUAGGGAAUCUUCCACAAUGGACGCAAGUCUGAUGGAGCA